rnacentral:tRNA from 1 species
GGAGAGGUGGCUGAGUGGUCGAAAGCGCUUGCCUGCUAAGUGAGUAUACUGGGAAACUAGUAUCGAGGGUUCGAAUCCCUUCCUCUCCA